UAAAAGUAAGUGAAAUUGCCAGUUUCAGUGUAAUUCAGACUAAAGUCCAGCUGCAGAUAAGGAAUACCACUAAGUCAACAGUGUCUGAGUGAGUACUUCUCUGGUUAAAGUCCCUGUUUUCUUUCACCGUAUGUUUGUUUGUUUUUUUAGAUUUGGAGUCUGUGGUUGGGUAGAUUUAAGAUGAGUCAUUGUUUUUCUAUCCAUGGUAGCUUCCACUACUGAGGCUCAGGAAAAAUGAAGAGGAUAAUUAAGAGGAACCAUCAGUUCUGUCUCAUCUAACUACACAGUAUUUAUAAUCAUGCACUUAUGUCUCAAACUAAGACAAAAUGAGACAAAAUUAGUUAUGUGAGUCUUUAGAUUAUCAGUAAAUUCUGGUGAUAGUUUGACGCUCAGUGGAGCCAUUUUUGGUUUGUGAUGAGUGUUUUGUGAUGCUCAGCUUCUGUUUUGUGAAUUGCUCUUUCUAAUUUAGAAGAUCCUGCAGAAAUGUGCGCGCCCUUAUCUGAGAGGACAUGGAGAGAGUGUCGCAAACUCGAGGUGAGAAGAUAAACCUCGGAGCUGGAUGGCCUGCGCGUCACCUAUGUGCAUCUCUCUUUUCAAUGACAUCAAGUGAACCCAUAAUAAGCAUUUCUAUGUCUUAGACAUCAGAUCCAUUUCUAAUGAGAGAUUAUUUUUUAAAUGAGGGAACCCUGGUCUAACAAAACGCUUACAACAGAGCUAAAGGUUCAUUACAUGUGAGACGGUGGGACUCUCUGAUAAGAACUGAAACACUGUGUAUAAACAGCUGAGACAAAACUAUAUAUAAACACUAAUUUAUUCCAUUUUAGUUUACAAUGAUUUUUAAAGUAAUGUGGAAUGAUUCAUGUUCAUGAGCUGCUACAAACACAACUGUUUAUUUAUCUUUAUAUGGUUGGACUACAAGGCUUGUGUUGAGGGUCUUGGAAUAAAAAGUGGAAUAACAUCACCACAGCAAAACAAAUAAUGUUACUGUCUGCAGCUAAAAUAUAUAGUGAGCAUGGUUUUAUAAUAAUGCGCAAACACAACCUCACUCUGCUAUAUACGAGGAGCCAACCACAGCUGUCUUCAUCCACGACCUCCGCCAUCAUUUCUUUACUCAUCAUCAUUCACUUAAUUGCUUAGGUUGGUUUAAAUCAAACUCAGUUACAGGUUCAACUCCAUUAUAUAAAAGCAUGCUGACUUUGGAUUUGGUGUGCAGUGCCACCUUAAAAAAAUGAGGAAACUAAGAGAUUACAAAAAAAAGAAGUGGAAGAGUUAAUGAGCUACAGCAGAUUAACAGUUUCUGACAGUCAUGUAUUAAGAAAUAGGACGAUUAGAUGAGCUGAGGGAUCCAUCUACUGCUCAAUGAAGCCUCAACAGAAACAGUCUCAAUGGAAGGAUGGCUCUAUUCUUAAGGAAGGACACAGGGAGAAAGACUGGCGUAUGUCACAUUACACAGGAACUGGACUGAAAAUCAGUUGCAAAUAUUCAUCAGCAUGUGCAAACAUAUUAUAGGUAUGGAAUUCAGGAAAGUACCAUCAGAAGUUGAUCCACUAUGCAAAUGUCUGAUUGGCAGUGGCUUCAUUUUUCACUAUGACAAACAAACUGCUAAUGCAGUAUGCAGCAUCACAGGACUUCAGUCAUGGAUUAGCCUCCCCAGACCUCAACAUUACUGAAACAUCUUAACAGAGAAUGGAAAAAAAGGGAACCAACAUCCAAGAAAAGAACUGCUCCUGAAUACUUCCUCACAGAAAAUACAAAAAAGCUUGACUAAAAGACUUCAGGCUGUGCUGAAUAAUAAAGGUGGACUGACUUCCAGGGUCCUUAGUAUCAUAUAAGCUCAGUUUUUGUCUGUCUUUGUCUGUAUUUCCAUUUAUAUAACAAAAUAUAUAGAAACGAGGGUGGUUUAAGAUGUCUGUAGAGUUUUAGUCAUUAUCUUUAAACAAACAAAGAAAGUACCAUCCAAAACACUUUUCCAUAAGUAAACAUGUCUUGUGUUUCUGUUUAACUUCUGCUGUUUUCCUUUCAUGUGUCCACAGUUGACAGGUAACCCUACUGGAGCCACCAAUAGUAACCGGUGGCUUCUCAGUGUGUUGAUGGGCACAGCCAUUGUUACCACAGCUACUGGUGGGGACCUGGAGUUGGUAUACGCGGAGCUGUGAGAGGACAGAGAUGGCGAACGGACAUUUAACUAUUUAACAGGAGAUACGUUAUGACUAAUAGACGACUACUGUUUAAAUGAUGUCUUUGCAGCCCUUAUGGCACACGUUACACAACUUUUCUUCAUGCCAGCAAGACUGAGGUGCCCACAUAGUUGACACAUACAACUGAUUAUGAAUGCAUAUUUUACUAUUCCUAUUUUCACAUCAUCUCCUUGGCUUUAUUAGUGAAAGCCUGGAGAUACUCUGACUUGUGCAUGGCUGAUGUGAAGUAUGAUUAGUACUACAUGACUUACACCAUCAACAGAGGCAAUGAAAGCUUUGUUGUUAACAGGUUGGAUGGUAAAGUCAAAUUCCUAAUUCUACACUUGUGUUGGGUAAAGUUAUUCUCACUGCAGCAGAUUUAUAUCUGUGGUUUCACAGGGCGUGAUGUGGACCUCAGCGCUGAGGUGCAGUUCUCCUUGGAGACCGGCAUCCUGGCUGAAAAUAUUAUCAUGCUUCCAAAACAUGGCUGGGGUAUCUCAGUGACUUGGCUGACGUAAAGUAUGACGAGUUUGCCCUGAUUCAUUCCAUCAAGACAAAGUGGAAAGAAAGCUAUGUUGUUAACAAACUAUAUGGUAAUGUGGCAUUUAGCUCUGGUUCUACGCUCUGCUGAAUCCUUGUUAACCUGUUCUGCUGAUCAGGAAAGCUAUACGUGCUGCAGCAGAUUGACGUCAUCUGUUUUCACAGGGCGUGGCGUGCACCUCAGCGCUGAGGUGCAGGAGAAUUUCAUUCAGUUCUCCCUACAAACCAGCAUCCAGCCUGAAAAUAUUGUCAUCUUUCCCAAAAAUGGUACUCUUAUCUCAGAGAAGAAGUUUGAUGUAAAAUAACUGCAAUCAACAGUGA